rnacentral:misc_RNA from 1 species
GAUGCUGGCAGUCAAGUCUGAGAAAAAGAGAAGAUUUUGCUGCCUUUCUACCAAUUUUCACAGACUUUUAGACACUUCUGUCUACUCCCUUCUUUUUCUUUUUCUGUCUUGUGCCGCUAUAUACAGGGAACCCCAUUUCAUUUGACUCUUUUCUAAGGAAAAACAAAGCUAUGUCAGGUUUAUAUAAUCAUAACUUUUCACCUUCAAGAGCUGCAUCUCCUCAGAUUAGAACUAAUCCAGAUGUUGAAAGUAAUCAGUAUUUAUCUGAGUUGUUGUCGGAGCAUCAAAAGAUUGGUCCUUUCAUGCAAGUUCUUCCUAUAUGUAGC